ACAUUGCACUUGCUUCUUCUUCCAUUCACAUCUCUCAGUUUCUCUGUCUCUCUCUUUCUCUGCGUAUGUGUUUGUGUGAGGAAGAGAAAAGAUGAAAGCAAGACAAAAGUUUCUGCAAGAUCACCUUGAAGUGGUUAUCAUGCAUGAAUCCAUGAACAACACCACAACCGUACUGAACCCUUUGAAAAUUGGAAUCCAUGGCAAAAAAGAACUCCAGCUUGCAGCAGACAUCUCUGCUGGCAUUCAAUUUGAGAAUGGGAGUUCUAUUGUGAUGUUGGCCUGUUCAUGUUAAUUGGGUGCUAUCCUACCUGAGCUUUAAUCUCUACCAUCUUCUUCAUCCUUUCUUUUCUUUAUUUAUCUCUUUCAAUUUUCUUUAUUUUUUGGUCUUCUUGACCUUGUAAGACCUUUUCUUGAUCUUGUAAGACCUUACACCAUAUCUAUUGCCUUUAUUUUCUAAUUUAUUAUAGGCUCUAUAUCAAAGCCAACUAAUAUAGAACUUAGUAAUUAUCUUUCCCGUUUUCCGCCCAACUCAUCUUCUCCUUCCUUGUCUAUCCCUCCUGAGCUGUUUGAAAUUACCUUGGCAUAUAUGCAUCUCUCCUCAAGAACUUGUCCUGUAUACAGAAGACUACUUGAUGAUCACAUCUCAGAGUUCAUGCAAGCAAUGGAGCCUUCUCAAUUGCAACGUGGAUGACUUUGUUUUCACAUGUAAAUAUAGAAGGAUCGAAGAAAAUGCAAGAAGAAGUGGUCCUUGAGGUGGAGUUGUAUACAAAAUCUAGAAUAUGUUAAACAAAAUAAUUUCCUUGUUGUUUUCAUUCACAAUCAAUACUCUUUGUUUCUUAUUCUGUAUGUUGAGGCCUUCAAUUUCAAUAUUGUAUUAUUGUGCACUGCAGAAAUAUGCUGCUGCUGCUUGCAGGGCAUCAGUUUCGUUGUUUUAUAUGUUGUUGGCUGACCGGAAGAUGAGGAAGAGAAUAAAUAUUGUUCUCUCAGAUCUGUGGAAGAGUUCCCUCUCGUGACUGCUCUUAUAUGUACAAAAUAUCCACUGUAUUAUUGGAGCUCUCUCUCUCUCUCUCUCUCCAAAAGACUUUUUUGUAGUACUAAGGAAGUUGCUGUUCAUGGAAAAAAGCUGAUUUACUCUUGA